rnacentral:rRNA from 1 species
AACGAACGCUGGCGGCAGGCCUAACACAUGCAAGUCGAACGAUAUAGUGGCAGACGGGCGAGUAACGCGUGGGCACGUACCUUUCACUACGGAAUAGCUCCGAGAAAUUGGUGGUAAUACCGUAUACGCCCUCAGGGGGAAAGAUUUAUCGGUGAAAGAUCGGCCCGCGUUGGAUUAGCUAGUUGGUGAGGUAAUGGCUCACAAAGGCGACGAUCCAUAGCUGGUCUGAGAGGAUGACCAGCCACACUGGGACUGAGACACGGCCCAGACUCCUACGGGAGGCAGCAGUGGGGAAUCUUGCACAAUGGGCGAAAGCCUGAUGCAGCCAUGCCGCGUGAAUGAUGAAGGCCUUAGGGUUGUAAAAUUCUUUCGUCAGGGAUGAUAAUGACCGUACCUGAAGAAGAAGCCCCGGCUAACUUCGUGCCAGCCGCCGCCGUAA